rnacentral:tRNA from 2 species
AAUCAUUUAGCUAUAUUAAGUUUAUAUCUUGAAAAUAUAAGAAAGAGAACCCUCUAAUGAUUU